UGGGGACGGGCUGAUUGUGAGACUGACACGUAAGUAGUGAAGUGAUCUGAUUUUUUUGACUUUGGAUAAGGCUGAUGUGACAGAAUGAUGUGGCAGGAUUUGGUUGGGUAAUUUAGUCAAAUUAUGUGUGUUUAUUUUUUAGCGAGUGUGCGUGGUAAUUGAGGGAUAAACAUGUUUGACCACCAAGCGAUUAAAGAUAAGC
rnacentral:lncRNA from 1 species